UCCCCUCGUCCUGGGAUCACGGCCGGUCCGUAUAAAGGCGAGCCCCUUCCCUCCUUCUCCCGGUGCCACAGCUGAGUUCGCUGAGUCCGGAGGAGAUUUAUAAAAAGCAGUCCCAUUCGUCCUCGAGACUGGAGAGCAGCAGGUUCCCCCUCCGAAGCAAACACCUGAGGCCCCGUGAACUCUUCCACAGCGAGUCAGGAUGCAGGAGAAACGCUCUCUGGGACAAAGGAACGCAGCGGCGGCGCUGUGCGUGGUGCUGCUGGUCCUGGCUCAGCAGGUGUGCGCAGGUCCGUUGGCCCCUCGGGCGGCGUCCGGCUCUGACCAGAGUCCGGACUCGAGGGGGGAAGCCGGCGGCGUCCGCGCACCGAGGAGGGUCGCCCGGAUGACCCCGCUGUGGAGGACCAUGAACAGCAAGCCGCUCGGCGCUUACUGCCAGAGCAACUACGAGUGCUCCACGGGACUGUGCAGGUAACGGGGAGAGGCCACAAGCAGCAAGAGCACCUCGUUCGGGUGGAACCAGUCACGUCGUCGGGGACUCUGAGGUCAACGGGAAAAAGAGAAGCGCGCGCUUUAGGUCGCUUUGAAGUGUUUAUGUGCUGCAAUGAAUUCUGACGGUCCAGAGGUCGCAUCUGGAGGGCGGGACACUGCUCCACCAGCCAGCGUUCCCUGUCGGGGGCCGUCACCUACUAGACGUCCUCGGACACGUUUGCAUGAAUUGAUCCAUCUUCAUUUUGUUUUCAUCUGAUUUUUUUUUUAUUAUUAUAUAUAUUUAUACGUGCCAAUAUGUUUCUGAUGAAAUCGAAUUGUUUGUAUGGAUUUACACAGCAGGUAGUUAUAUCCAAGAAAAGGAUUUUAAAAAAAUCAUUUCGCCUUUGAAGAUUGUUAAUAACCAUGUUUUAUUGGCGAUAGCACAAUUCAAAACAUAGCUCUGUAACGUUUGAGCACAAAGCCGAUUGUCAAAUGAUAUUUGUAAUUUUUUUUACGACGAUAUUCACUCGUUCAACAUUUCGUCAUCAGUGUCUCGUGUGUCCUGUACAAUAGCUUCGCUUUGUGCCGAGUUGAGUCUGAUCAUAACUGAUAAUGUGCAGCGUGGAAACGUUUGCUUCCCUUUGACCAAACCGAUGUUACAGCCGCGCAAAUAACAGCUCCAUGAAUUACGAUUUAACAUUUGGUGGAAAACCAGCAGGAACCGUAACGAUGCUGUGAAGACACGUUUUCAUCAUAGGCUGGAUUUUUUUUUUUUUGAUUACUCACAAGAUCAAACUGAAAAAAGUUUUUAAAAAAUUGCUAGUCGGAACUUUUAGACAUCUACUUGCUCGACGAACUUAACUAAUAUCCUGGUUGAGUGUACAAAUAUUAGGAACCGUUUCCUAAUUAUGAGCUGCACAGCCUUAUUGUCAUCGUCAUUAAUAUUUUUGCACAUCUUAGACGCGAUCACGGAUUACGCUUCGACUCACCUGUAUAGUUUACUUCAUGCACACAGCGGGUGGUUGCUGAUAUUUUGUACACUCAGCAUGUUUGAGUAGGAUUUGCACUUUUAAACACAAAUUAUCUUCGUACUGUGUCCUGUCUACUGUACGUACUGUACUGUGUUACCUACGUGUAGAGAGAUGGAGGGAGUGGAAUAAAAGCAUUGGAGAAAAAAUAAGAUUUA